AGCCCAGCCCAAAGUCUGCAGCUCUGAAAUAGGACCCCACCCCUGGAUCCCCAGGUGUUCCUGAAGUCUUGUCAGGACAGAACACAGACCACUCAUCAUGAUAUUUGGGCUCAGCUGGGUUUUCCUUGUUGCUGUUUUAACAGGUGUGCAGAGUGAAGUGCAGCUGGUGGAGUCUGGGGGAGGCUUGGUGAAGCCUGGUGGGUCUCUGAGACUCUCCUGUGCAGCCUCUGGAUUCACCUUCAGUAGCUACUGGAUGAGCUGGGUCCGCCAGGCUCCUGGAAAGGGGCUGGAGUGGGUCUCAGCAAUUAAUAGUGAUGGUAGUAGCACAUACUAUGCCAACUCUGUGAAAGGCCGAUUCACCAUCUCCAGAGACAAUGGCAAAAAUGAGCUCUACCUGCAAAUGAACAACCUGAGAGCUGAGGAUACAGCCGUGUAUUACUGUGCUAGAGACACAGUGAGGGAAAGUCACCGUGAGCCCAGACACAAACUUCCCUGA